rnacentral:rRNA from 1 species
AUUGAACGCUGGCGGCAGGCCUAACACAUGCAAGUCGAGCGGAGCGGCGGACGGGUGAGUAAUGCCUAGGUAUGUGCCUGGUAGUGGGGGGUAACGACCGGCCGCGGACGCUCAUACCUCAUACUCUCAACUGCACGUGGGUAGGAUUAGCUAGUUGGUGGGGUAAAGUCCUACCAAGGCGACGAUCCGUAACUGGUCUGAGAGGAUGAUCAGUCACACUGGAACUGAGACACGGUCCAGACUCCUACGGGAGGCAGCAGUGGGGAAUAUUGGACAAUGGGCGAAAGCCUGAUCCAGCCAUGCCGCGUGUGUGAAGAAGGUCUUCGGAUUGUAAAGCACUUUAAGUUGGGAGGCGUUACCAACAGAAUAAGCACCGGCUAACUUCGUGCCAGCAGCCGCGGUAAUUC